rnacentral:lncRNA from 13 species
GAAAUAAACCCAGAGCUGAUUGUCCAGACCUGCAGACAGACUGCAGUUAGUGUUGCAACAGGUCACAUAGAGGGCUGGAAGCAAUGUGGCCACUGGCCAGAUGGACAAAAUUAAUGGGAUGCAUAUUUGACUUUGAAAAUAGCCUGCACAUUCACUCACAGUCAAAGUCAAUUAGACCCUAUUCAAACGGAUUAAUUGUUUUACACUCGGGGGAAACUGGACUCUUUUGAGUUUAUGCCCUCUGAACUUGUUGCAGGACCUGAUUGUGACCACAGGGCAGGACGCCCGGCGCUCGUUAACGUGUAAUUGCUACACUUAACCGCGGCUGGAGAUAGACGGUAAAGCGAUACAGUAUCGCUUUUUCGGUCAGUUAUUUUGUUUUAUGGUUUUGAAAUACAUCGCAACUGAUGUAAUAAUUUAUUCACAACAGUGUCAUGCCUGGGACGUCUAGCCAACUGUGACUUUACUUGCGGGAGAAGAGAAGAGAAUGUGUGUUUGGUCGCAGCUGGUCUCGUUGAGUGGAUGGGUCUGUGUGGAGAGACGCUGCGUUUCUCUCUCUGCUGGAGAGUACUGACCAAGGCGACAGUAACGUGACUGUGCGCAUGUAAGAAAGCUAUCUCUACCUCCAACAAGUCUAAGUGAUAAAUGCUCAUAUCUAGCCACAGCAUGGACGGGCUGCCGACGGAGAGCACCGGACUCAACAGCAUCAACAAGGAGAAAACAGAUGAACAGUACCGGGCUCUAGCCUACGACACCGCGCUCAGCACUCUGGUGGCCGUGGUGUUUUACGUGGUGGUCAAAGUGAGCCUGGACGGGAUCAGGCAAUGGCGGGCCCGGAUCUCGGUUCUAAUAGUGGGCUCGGGUCCCGUGGGGCUAACGGCCGCGCUAGUCGCUGUUCGCUCGGGGAAGGUGCUGAAGCUCACGCUGCUGGAUGAGAGGUACCGCACGGCGCUGCUCUGCCGCCCCCAGCAGAUUGCCCUGGACCCGCGCAGUGUGGAGUUCCUGCUCGAACUGGGGGUGGACUUUGAUAACAUGGAGGGCUGCUGGCACAACGAGCACUUCUUCACGAAGAUAGGAGUGUUUCAAGAGUACCUGCUUAGCAUUCUGGAGCAGAAGAGACAGAAGGUGGAAAUCAAGGUUCAGCUGGGAACGAAGUUCACAGAGGAGUACCUGCGGAAGAUCCCGGGUUCUGAUUGGCCGCGUGUGAUCGUGGUGGCUGAUGGGUCGUGUGGGGACUCAUGCUCUGUGCUGGGUAUCAGCUCUGACUACACUGUAGAGUCCUGCCACGCAUACGGGGCUAAUGCCACUAUAGAGAGACUGGACCAGAGACAGGUGCCCACCCCAGAGAUCCGAGCCCACAGCCUGUUCUUCGACUUGUCUGCGUACGGAGUGGAGGCUCUCAGGGAGCCGAAAAGCUCUGCCGUCAAGCCAGGGUUCCACCUCAAGAUCUACGGAACCUUCCGGAACCGCUACAUGGCUCUGGUCUGCCCUGCCUCAGACACCAAGAUGGUCCGCUUCCUCCGACACACAGCUAACUCCUCGAUCAUGAAGAACAUCUUCCACCAGUCGUUUAAUGCGUAUAAGACCGACAUCGAGCCCCGUCUCAACGACCUGACACUGCACCGCAUGCAGUGCAGUAGACGUCUAUUUGACAUCCAGCUGUCUCACCGGAGAGUCAGUGCCGCCUACAUAGAGGGAGACAAUGUGUCUGUGACCGUGGAGGGGGAGGCGGUACGGGUGCUCAACUUCGACACAGGUACACGCAAACGCCCUGACAUCAGCUUACAUUGGUACACAAAAAAGUUCUGGCUUCACUUGUCGCAGUGCUCAACUUCUGUGGUAUCACUAAUGCAGGUAUGUGUAACUCCUUUACUUCAUCAUCAUCAUCAUCAUCAACAGAGUGCUUGGUUUUCCCAUAGGUAAAAUAAAUCACCCUUGUUGUCAAGGGGUCCCUAUUUUUAGAGCAUGAAGACACUUGAGAAGGAGAGAGAAAUGGAUGGAUGAGAUGAAGUGGUGUGACUCACUACUGUACUGAAUGCCAUUUUAGCCUCUGGAAAUCAAUUUCUCCAUCUCUCUGAGGUUGCUUUUUACUUUACAACAUUUCAACAUCUUUUAGAAUACCCUUCAGUGUCUUUCAGGCUACGUGUAACCGUUUUUAUUAAUGAGGGGUUUAUGAAAUUAAUAACGCCUUUUGAUAUGUGUUUUAUCGCUCAUAUUUUCAGUAUCUAUGAUAAGAGUACAAUAUAACAUCUCUCCCAAGACCUCAUGAUUUCAGGUUCAUCUUCUCACUAUGUUUGAUAGAUAUUCAACUCACAGCACUGAUAAAAUGUAUCUUUGUCCCCCCCCCCCCGCCCCCCCUUCUCCUCCGACCAGGUUGUGGGGUGAACCUGGGGAUGAGGGGUCUUGAGUCCUUGGGAACAUUUAUCUACCACACGGCCACGGCUGUGGACCAGAAUGA